ensembl:snRNA U6 U6 spliceosomal RNA
AUGCUCACUUCAGCAGCACGUAUACUAAAAUUGGAACGAUACAGAAAAGAUUAGCACGGCCCUUGCGCAAGGACAACACACAAAUUCAUGAAGUGUUCUCCUUAUUU